GGCGAACGGCUGAGUAAUGCACAGGUGACCUGCCCUCAAGUGGGGGAUAACACCGGGAAAUCGGUGCUAAUACCGCAUGUGGCUCCAGCAAUUCGUUGCUGGAAUUAAAGCCUUCGGGCGCUUGAGGAGGGGCUUGCGUCCUAUCAGGUUGUUGGUAGGGUAACGGCCUACCAAGCCUUAGACGGGUAGCUGGUCUGAGAGGAUGGUCAGCCAGACAGGGAAUGAGAGACGGCCCUGACUCCUACGGGAGGCAGCAGCAAGGGAUAUUGCGCAAUGGGCGAAAGCCUGACGCAGCGACGCCGCGUGGGGGAAGAAGGCUUUCGGGUUGUAAACCCCUUUUCUUGGUGAAGAGUAAGGACGGUAGCCAAGGAAUAAGUCUCGGCUAACUACGUGCCAGCAGCCGCGGUAAUACGUAGGAGGCAAGCGUUAUCCGGAAUCACUGGGCGUAAAGGGCGUGUAGGCGGCCCGUUAAGUUGGCUGUGAAAUCUCCCGGCUCAACCGGGAGCCGUCAGCCAAUACUGCCGGGCUAGAGGGCAGCAGAGGAAAGUGGAAUUCCCGGUGUAGCGGUGGAAUGCGUAGAUAUCGGGAGGAACACCAGUGGCGAAGGAGGCUUUCUGGGCUGCCCCUGACGCUGAGGCGCGAAGGCGUGGGGAGCAAAGUGGAU
rnacentral:rRNA from 1 species